rnacentral:rRNA from 1 species
GAUGAACGCUGGCGGCGUGCCUAAUACAUGCAAGUCGAGCGAACGGACGAGAAGCUUGCUUCUCUGAUGUUAGCGGCGGACGGGUGAGUAACACGUGGAUAACCUACCUAUAAGACUGGGAUAACUUCGGGAAACCGGAGCUAAUACCGGAUAAUAUUUUGAACCGCAUGGUUCAAAAGUGAGAGACGGUCUUGCUGUCACUUAUAGAUGGAUCCGCGCUGCAUUAGCUAGUUGGUAAGGUAACGGCUUACCAAGGCAACGAUGCAUAGCCGACCUGAGAGGGUGAUCGGCCACACUGGAACUGAGACACGGUCCAGACUCCUACGGGAGGCAGCAGUAGGGAAUCUUCCGCAAUGGGCGAAAGCCUGACGGAGCAACGCCGCGUGAGUGAUGAGGGUCUUCGGAUCGUAAAACUCUGUUAUUAGGGAAGAACAUAUGUGUAAGUAACUGUGCACAUCUUGACGGUACCUAAUCAGAAAGCCACGGCUAACUACGUG